rnacentral:rRNA from 1 species
CCUACGGGAGGCAGCAGUGGGGAAUAUUGCACAAUGGGGGGAACCCUGAUGCAGCGACGCCGCGUGAAGGAAGAAGUAUUUCGGUAUGUAAACUUCUAUCAGCAGGGAAGAAAAAGGACGGUACCUGACUAAGAAGCCCCGGCUAACUACGUGCCAGCAGCCGCGGUAAUACGUAGGGGGCGAGCGUUAUCCGGAUUUACUGGGUGUAAAGGGGGCGCAGACGGCCAUGGCAAGCCCGGUGUGAAAGGUGCGGGCACAACCCGCAGACUGCACUGGUAACUGCCUGGCUGGAGUGCCGGAGGGGUAAGCGGAAUUCCUGGUGUAGCGGUGAAAUGCGUAGAUAUCAGGAGGAACACCGGUGGCGAAGGCGGCUUACUGGACGGCAACUGACGUUGAGGCCCGAAAGCGUGGGGAGCGAACAGGAUUAGAUACCCCUGU